GGGUGGGUCUAUGACUUGCAAUUCUCUGGUCCUCAGCUCCACAGAGUAGUAGGUGGGUCCAAUAAGCACUCUCCACCCAGUACCUGGAUGGGGGUCCCCACCAGCAGAAGCUGCAUAUAAGCCCCUGCCUGCCCGCCUGUGUAAAAUGAGGGGCAGCUGGACCAGCCGGGUCUGGGCUCCCACUCCACCUCCUGCCAAAGGCCUGGCUCCCUGUGGCUUGGCCAGGCCAGGCCAGGGAGGGAGGGCAGAGCAGGUGGGGAACUGGCUGGAGGUGUAACUUGAGCCGGGAGGAAUUCCCUGCCCUUCCUCCAUGCUUUUAUUAAAGUAGGGCGGGGAAGGGCAGGCUUCCAUCGGAAAAAUCUCCCAGGCUGCCGGGGGGAGGUGGGGAAGCCGCCGGGAGGCUGGGAGGGAGCACCGGCCCGGCUGCAAAUAGAAGGCACGCAGCAGCUCUGGCUGCGAGGCUCCAGGCCGGCCCAAGGGCACCGAGGCCCCAGCCUACCGGAGCCAGCACCGAGGCUGGCUCUCUCCUCCUACCGUCUCAUUCCUGUCCUAUCUACCCUCUCUUAGUCCCGGACUGGGAGUGGGUCUUACAGGUCGGGACAGAACAGACCCCGCUUUUGCUGGGGCAACGGAGCUGGUGCCCUCACUGUCUAUGGUCAGGAGGACGGCGCUGGGCGACCCACAGAGCCCGCGUGGGGUAUUGCGGGGGGAUGCAGGUUGGACCUCGCUCUACGCCAGGAGGCCGCGCCUGGUCACCUGCCGGACGGAUCCGGAGACGGUUUUAUCAGGCGGGCUCCUGGUAAAAACACGUGCGGAGUCUGCCCUCUCCGACGUAGGGGCACUAGUGGGAGGAAGCCCCGGGGGAGACAGGGUCUCUCUUGGACCCACCUGGUCAUGGAGCGGUUUCCGCGUUAAGAGCCCAACAGGUGCCGAAGGUGGAGUCCGACCAGCGGCCCUUUUACUCUUCCAGGAAGGAAGGGAUCCUUGCCUGCCCGCCCCUGUCACUCCCACCCUUGCUUUUGGAGGGCAGUUCUCUUCAAAUCCUCAAGAUGUCUUUGGCCCUUGAGUGACUCUCCUCAAGUUACCAGAGCCUUGCUGACAAUAGAUAACUGCUGUCCUGUAUGACCCACAAGACAUUUAAUGAGAGGGAUACCUUGAAGACAAAUAGAUGAAGAUUAGAGACGGGACCAGUAUGUGUACCCAACUUCACAGACCUUCAGAGAUCUACCAGAAGCCCCAGUGCCUGUUGUCCUUGGCAGUGUCCACAGACCUAGAACUAGGAGGCCCAGGCUGCCCUCUACUGGUGGUUCCUGACAAUGACCACACGUACCAGCGCUGAACCUGCGAC